UACAGAGGUGGCAAGCGUUGUUCGGAAUUACUGGGCGUAAAGGGCGCGUAGGCGGUCUUCUAAGUCCUGUGUGAAAUCCCUCGGCUCAACUGAGGAACUGCACGGGAUACUGGAAGACUUGAGUUCGGGAGAGGAUGGUGGAAUUCCCAGUGUAGAGGUGAAAUUCGUAGAUAUUGGGAAGAACACCGAUGGCGAAGGCAGCCAUCUGGACCGACACUGACGCUGAGGCGCGAAAGCGUGGGGAGCAAACAGG
rnacentral:rRNA from 1 species